rnacentral:lncRNA from 10 species
AACUGUAGAGAAUCAGAAUGCUCAGUCAUCAAACCCACAAAACUGUAAGAGGAUUCCUUUAGAAUGACAACUCGUCAAAAUAGAAGUUCCUUUCUAGCAGAAAUUUGCUUAUGGGAAAACUGAGGCCCAGAGAAGCAAAGUGUAUUUCCUAGGGUCACACAGCCUAGGUCUCCAGACUGGAUGUCCUUCUUUCUGCAGGUCUGGAUGAGAAACUUGAAGGAGUCAGUCCACAAUAAUUUCUGGAGCAUCUACUUUGUACUACCUGCUGUUCUAGGCACUGUGGUUUCACUGGUAACAAGGACAGAACUACUGUCCCCAAGGAGUUAUGUUCUAAUUGGUGGAUGGGAGGACACAGAUUAGGAACACAGAAACAAAUGAGGUAACUUCUGUCACUGUCACCACCAUGACAACACCCUCUACUGGAAAGGUAUGAGUCAUCCCAGCUGAGGACAUCCUAAACCAGCCAGCCCCCAGCCAACCUAUCCGCUGACCACAGAUGCAUGAACAGGGUCUUGCUCUGUCUCCCAAGCUGGAGUGUAGCAGCAUGAUCAUGGCUCACUGUGCAGCCUCAACCUCCUGGGCUCAAGUAAUCCUCCUGCCUCAGCCUCCCAAGUAGCUGGGACUAUAGGUUGAGAGGUCAUUCUUACCAAGA